rnacentral:rRNA from 1 species
GAUGAACGCUGGCGGCGUGCCUAAUACAUGCAAGUCGAGCGAACAGAUGAGGAGCUUGCUCCUCUGACGUUAGCGGCGGACGGGUGAGUAACACGUGGAUAACCUACUUAUAAGACUGGGAUAACUUCGGGAAACCGGAGCUAAUACCGGAUAAUAUAUUGAACCGCAUGGUUCAAUAGUGAAAGACGGUUUUGCUGUCACUUAUAGAUGGAUCCGCGCCGCAUUAGCUAGUUGGUAAGGUAACGGCUUACCAAGGCGACGAUGCGUAGCCGACCUGAGAGGAUGAUCGGCCACACUGGAACUGAGACACGGUCCAGACUCCUACGGGAGGCAGCAGUAGGGAAUCUUGCGCAAUGGGCGAAAGCCUGACGGAGCAACGCCGCGUGAGUGAUGAAGGUCUUCGGAUCGUAAAACUCUGUUAUUAGGGAAGAACAAAUGUGUAAGUAACUAUGCACGUCUUGACGGUACCUAAUCAGAAAGCCACGGCUAACUACGUG